UACGAGGGGGGCGAGCGUUGUUCGGAAUUAUUGGGCGUAAAGGGUGCGUAGGCGGUUUGGUAAGUCUUAUGUGAAAUCUACAGGCUCAACUUGUAGUCUGCAUGAGAAACUGCCGGGCUUGAGUGUGGGAGAGGUGAGUGGAAUUCCUGGUGUAGCGGUGAAAUGCGUAGAUAUCAGGAGGAACACCUGCGGUGUAGACGGCUUUCUGGACCAUUGCUGACGCUGAGACACGAAAGCGUGGGUAGCAAACAGG
rnacentral:rRNA from 1 species